rfam:Ailuropoda melanoleuca scaffold1375_66, whole genome shotgun sequence.
AUCGCCACUGCUGCACCAAGGGCACACGCAUCUUCAGUGAGACCUGGAAUUCCCAGGAAUUGCCUUUGUGAAAUGCUGGCCAUAAUUUCUCUAAAUUCCAUCUCUUAGUUUUCCAUGGAAACAUCAAGAAACC